ACCGACAUCCAAAUUGAUUUAUAUCCGGGUAAUUAGUUUCAUUUUUUUUUUCCAACGUAUUAUCCACCCCAUAUUAUAACAUCGGAUUGUCACGACCGUCCUUAUGUAUAUCGUCUCAAAUGUUUUACUUCGGUACUAUUUUUUUCUCCGCACGAAAAUAAUUCUUCGAUAUUCUCAUUAAUAAUUAACGCAGUUAAUGAACAAGAUAACUGCAGAUUGCACCGUGUUUCCUCUAUAGAGUAGGGAAGUCGUAGUUGUUCGUUGAG